rnacentral:rRNA from 1 species
UACGUAGGUGGCAAGCGUUGUCCGGAUUUACUGGGCGUAAAGAGCGCGCAGGCGGUCGUUCAAGUCGCGUGUGAAAGCCCCCGGCUCAACUGGGGAGGGUCACGCGAUACUGAUCGACUCGAAGGCAGGAGAGGGAAGUGGAAUUCCCGGUGUAGUGGUGAAAUGCGCAGAUAUCGGGAGGAACACCAAUGGCGAAGGCAGCUCGCUGGGACGGUACUGACGCUGAGGCGCGAAAGCGUGGGGAGCAAACAGG